rnacentral:rRNA from 1 species
GACGAACGCUGGCGGCGUGCCUAAUACAUGCAAGUCGAGCGAAUCAAUAGGAGCUUGCUCCCUGAGAUUAGCGGCGGACGGGUGAGUAACACGUGGGUAACCUGCCUGUAAGACUGGGAUAACUUAGGGAAACCGGAGCUAAUACCGGAUACGUUCUUUUCUCGCAUGAGAAGAGAUGGAAAGAUGGUUCUGCUAUCACUUACAGAUGGACCCGCGGCGCAUUAGCUAGUUGGUGAGGUAACGGCGCACCAAGGCGACGAUGCGUAGCCGACCUGAGAGGGUGAUCGGCCACACUGGGACUGAGACACGGCCCAGACUCCUACGGGAGGCAGCAGUAGGGAAUCUUCCGCAAUGGACGAAAGUCUGACGGAGCAACGCCGCGUGAGCGAAGAAGGCCUUCGGGUCGUAAAGCUCUGUUGUUAGGGAAGAACAAGUACGAGAGUAACUGCUCGUACCUUGACGGUACCUAACCAGAAAGCCACGGCUAACUACGUGCCAGCCGCCGCCGUAA